rnacentral:rRNA from 1 species
UUUUUUUAUGUUUCACCAAGAAAAAGCAUUUGGUACUUCCGUGCCCACAGCCCGGGGUAAUACGGGGGAGGGAAGCGGUUUCUGGAUUUUUUAGGUUUAAAGGGUGGGCCAGGCGGGUUUUUAAUUCAGCGGUCAAAUCGUGGGGUUCAACCCCAUCCACCCGUUGAAACUGGGGAUCUAGAGUGUGCGAGAGGGUAUGCGGAAUGCGGGGUGUAGCGGUGAAAUGCAUAGAUAUCACGCAGAACCCCGAUUGCGAAGGCAGCAUACCGGUGCACAACUGACGCUCAGGCACGAAAGCGUGGGUAUCGAACACGAUUAGAUACCCUGGUAGUCCACGCAGUAAACGAUGAAUGCUACCUGUUUGGCCAGAUUGAAGGCUGAGCGGGACAGCGAAAGCGUUAAGCAUUCCACCUGGGGAGUACGCCGGCAACGGUGAAACUCAAAGGAAUUGACGGGGGCCCGCACAAGCGGAGGAACAUGUGGUUUAAUUCGAUGAUACGCGAGGAACCUUACCCGGGCUCAAACGCAUACUGACGACAGUUGAAAGAUUGUUUCCCUUCGGGGCAUUAUGUGAGGUGGUGCAUGGUUGUCGUCAGCUCGUGCCGUGAGGUGUCGGCUUAAGUGCCAUAACGAGCGCAACCCCUAUCGACAGUUGCUAACGAGUCGAGUCGAGGACUCUGUCGAGACUGCCGGCGCAAGCUGUGAGGAAGGUCGGGGACGAAGUCAAAUCAGCACGGCCCUUACGUCCGGGGAGACACACGUGUUACAAUGGGCAGGGACAGCGGGGAAGCCACCUAAGCGAUUGGGCGUGGAACCCGAAACCCUGUCUCACUUAGGAUGGGAGUAUUCAACUCGACUCCAUGAAGCUGGAUUCGUGUAGUAAUCUGCGCAUCAGCCAUGG